rnacentral:tRNA from 1 species
AGGAUAAUAGUUUAAAAAAAACGUUUAAAUUGCAAUUAAAAAAUAUUACAUCUUUUUAUCUUU